UACGGGGGGGCAAGCGUUGUUCGGAAUUACUGGGCGUAAAGGGCUCGUAGGUGGCCAACUAAGUCAUGCGUGAAAUCCCUCGGCUUAACCGGGGAACUGCGUCUGAUACUGGAUGGCUUGAGUUUGGGAGAGGGAUGCGGAAUUCCAGGUGUAGCGGUGAAAUGCGUAGAUAUCUGGAGGAACACCGGUGGCGAAGGCGGCAAUCCUGGACCCAACACGUGACACUGAGGAG
rnacentral:rRNA from 1 species